rnacentral:rRNA from 1 species
UACGUAGGGUGCAGGCGUUAAUCGGAAUUACUGGGCGUAAAGCGUGCGCAGGCGGCCCCUUAAGUCAGAUGUGAAAGCCCCGGGCUUAACCUGGGAACUGCGUUUGAAACUGGGGAGCUAGAGUGUAGAAGAGGGGGGUGGAAUUCCAGGUGUAGCAGUGAAAUGCGUAGAGAUCUGGAGGAACACCGAUGGCGAAGGCAGCCCCCUGGGCUAACACUGACGCUCAUGCACGAAAGCGUGGGGAGCAAACAGG